rnacentral:rRNA from 1 species
CCUACGGGUGGCAGCAGUGGGGAAUAUUGCACAAUGGGGGGAACCCUGAUGCAGCGACGCCGCGUGGGUGAAGGAGUAUUUCGGUAUGUAAAGCCCUAUCAGCAGGGAAGAACAAUGACGGUACUUGACCAAGAAGCACCGGCCAAAUACGUGCCAGAAGCCGCGGUAAGACGCAUGGUCCACGCGUUAUCCGGAUUUACUGGGUGUAAAGGGAGCGCAGGGGGCGCGUUAAGCCUGGUGGGAAAGGCCGCGGCCCAACCGCGGGACUGCAGUGGAAACUGGCGGUCUGGAGUGCCGGAGGGGUAGGCGGAAUGCGUAGUGUAGCGGUGAAAUGCGUAGAUAUGAGGAGGAACACCGGUGGCGAAGGCGGCCUACUGGACGGUGACUGACGCUGAGGCUCGAAAGCGUGGGGAGCAAACAGGAUUAGAUACCCCUGUAGUC